AAGUCUGGAUGGUUUUCCAGAGUGUUUCUCUUGGCCUCUGUUCCAUGCCUGGGCUGUGCCUGGCCAGUGGGUAGAGCCGCAUGGUGUAGGGGCCACAAGGAACAUUCCUGGCAGUGCCCUGGAUG